rnacentral:rRNA from 1 species
UACGGAGGGUGCAAGCAUUAAUCGGAUUUAUUGGGCGUAAAGGGCGCGUAGGCGGGUACGCAAGUCGUAUGUGAAAUCCCAGGGCUCAACCCUGGAACGGCAUAUGAAACUGCGAAUCUAGAGGGUAGGCGGAGAAAAUAGAAUUCCACAAGUAGCGGUGAAAUGCGUAGAUAUGUGGAAGAAUACCGGUGGCGAAGGCGGUUUUCUAGCUUAUACCUGACGCUGAGGCGCGAAAGCAAGGGGAUCAAACAGG